UUCCUUCAGCUGAGUCGGUCACUGUGGUA
rnacentral:piRNA from 1 species